rnacentral:misc_RNA from 1 species
GACGGAGGGCGCAAGCGUUGUUCGGAAUUACUGGGCGUAAAGCGCGGGCAGGUGGCUCGUUAAGUCGUUUGUGAAAAUCCGGGGCUCAACCCCGCGAAAUGCAUACGAUACUGGCGGGCUAGAGAUCGGUAGAGGCUAGCGGAAUUCCUGGUGUAGCGGUGGAAUGCGUAGAUAUCAGGAAGAACACCCGUGGCGAAGGCGGCUAGCUGGGCCGAGUCUGACACUCAGCCGCGAAAGCGUGGGGAGCAAACAGG